UAUUGUAUUCAAAACUUUAGUGCUUAUUUUAUUCUUAAAAUAUUAUAUGUAAUUUCGGUUAUAGCAUGCUUUGUUAAGCCUGUAAAUUUUUAUUCUUUUCGUAUGCUUGUUCUCUUUCAUUUGUUUUAAAGUUAAUGGGUAAUUUUAUGUUUACGUUAAAAUCUUGAUCACAUUGAAUAGUACUAAACAUUUGCAAAUUAUCGAUGAUAUUAUUCCUGAGGAUUGCUUGUACAGGGAUGCUGCCAAGACGGGAGUCUCUACCUUCAGCGCUUUCAUUGCGAAAGAAGGUCUUUCCGGUCUCUAAGAUUGAGGCCCCCUUCGCUUUGGAGCUCCGAUUGGCAGUAAAUUCCAUUAAUCCGUGGUUUAUAGUGUUGAAUUUUGGGUUUAGGGACAGUUUUGGGGUCUAUGGAGAAAUGGGGAGUGGGUUUGGGUUAGGUACUUUUACUUUUAGUGGAGUUUCCACAUUGUGAGAUGGAUCAGUUAAUUAACUGUAUAGAUGAACGGUCCAGAUCUCUUUUGAACUAAUGAAGCUAACCCCACCAAGAUCUUGCCACGUCAUCAUCAUCCCCCUCCUUUUGGAACCUCUGGCUCUGGGUAGUGGAGUAGUGCUAUCAUAUAGUUAGUGGUUUAGGGGCAUUGGUUUCAGCCAGGGGACUGAAAGUUCAGGGGCUGGGGCUUGCCCUAUGGUUGUGUAAAAGCUCUUUCUGUGCUUGAGACUUUGAACGGAGAUGAUGUGCCUUUUGUACUACAUGCAUGAGUGCUGCAGCAGCAGCAGCAGUGAGGACAAGAAAGAUUUGGAAGCUAAUCGAAGCAAUAAGGCAAAGCGAAAGAGAAGAAAGAAACCAUUUUGGCUCUUCUUAUCAAGUGUUUUGCAGUACUGAUUUAUCUGUAGUCAGAUUUGAAAUUUUCAAUGGGGCAUUGCUUUGGUGAGUGUUCUUAGGCUGCUUUUCCUGGAACUGAAGCAUCUAUCUCACAAUCUGGAUAUGGGAAAUCUUCAAAGGAGUUUGUCACCUUCCUCCCUUUCCACCUCUUCCUCAUCUUCACUUGGUCCACACCCAUUGCAAAUUGAUCCAGAACUCUGGCUAAUGGCUGAAAAAAGGACCCAAGAGAUACUAUAUGCCAUUCAACCUACUUUUGCUUCUGAGCAUAAAAGGAUGGAAGUCAUCGAUUAUAUUCAGAGUUUAAUUAAAUAUUAUUUUCCAGUUGAGGUCUUUGCAUUUGGUUCGGUCCCUCUGAAAACCUAUCUUCCAGAUGGAGAUAUUGAUCUGAUGGUCCUCAGUCACCAAAACAUGGAGGAAGAAUUAGCCAGGGGUGUCUGCACUCUCCUCCAACGUGAAGAGCUUGACCCUGAAUUCCAAGUAAAUGAUGUCCAAUAUAUUCACGCUCAGGUUAACCUUUUCAACUCUGAUACUUUAAAAGUGAUGACUUUGUGCUCUAGUCAAAUAUUGAGAUGAUACUUAGACCCAUAAACAUAUCCCUCAGUACAUUAGUUGUCUUUCAUUGCCUAUUCUUUCAGUUACUCCACAGUGAGCUAUUUGUUUAUGUAUUUAUGAUUAUGAUUGUGUUGUUGCUGCUGCUGUUGUAACGUGCUUGUGUCCGAAAGCUGAAAAAGAUUAUUACUUAUCCUGCCUUAUCUAAAUCGUGUAUAACGAGAGCUUGAUUGUGUACUUGCAAGCUGAUACCGUUGAUUAUGACAGUAUGGAUUUAGGUGGUCAAUAAAUCCUCUCUUCACAAUACUUAGUUUCCAAUUACUUAUAGGUACACCAAGAAUAUGGGACUUCUAGUAUGCUUCUUCUCCCCACCAAAU